UUGUGAAAUUAGUGUCACCACCUCUCACUCUCACCCCUUCCUCUGUAUAGAAUAUAUUUUCAUCUCAUUUCACUUCUAGGGUUUCCAAUACAUUUUGGAUCUGGUAGUGAAGAACACAAAUGGGUUACAGUAAAUGGAAUUCUGGUUUUGUAUGGGAACCCGGUGGAACAACAAUCAUCAUCUUCUUCCGAUCACACUAUGAUUUUUCCUCUCACCACUAAAUAAAAGCUUCAACUCACUUCUCCGCUAAAGCAAAGUUUUGUCCUCACCUCUACCACGGCAUGAAACACACAGCUAGAGUUGGUAAAGUUUGGACCAAAACCACAGGACCUGUGACUGGAAGCUUGCGGCCUGAAGAGGUCCUUUCUACCAUGUUCCUGAUGACAGAUUUCACCCAAAUAAUUGGAGAAUUCAAAAUGUUUGGGUGACAAGAAAAGGAAACUGUUGCAUUUAGUGGAUAAUGGCUUUUCAGUCGAUGAAGUUUCAGCAGCCAUUGACUCAAAGGGUGUGCAUCCAUCUGUAUGCAGCAUAAAUUUAUUUGUGCUUUCUUUAUUGGUGAGCAUGGGUAGAGCUGAAAUGAAAGUCUCGAUGGGUUGCUUGCAAGGACUGGAUAUCGAUGAAACAUUCAGUUUCUGUUGGAAUUGAGGUUCUGCCACAUCGGAACUCAGCUAAUAUUGAAGGGGCUCUCCGCUGUGGGCAACUUGGUGAAACUAGAAAUGUAGGUGAGGAAUGUGAAGGUAGCUUUGAAAAGUCUGUCUAACCCCAUGAUACACGCUGUUUUCAACUCCAUAAAGAUUUGAGAUUUCCUAAAAUGCAAUUGGCCAAAGUGUACAUCAAAAAGAUGAUGAAGACCACAAUGGAGAACUCAGAAUAUCUGUGUGACAAGAAAAGGAAACUGUUGCUUUUAGUGGAUAGGGGGCUUCCCAGUUGACGAAGUUUCAGCAGCCAUCGACUCAUAAGAGAUUGAGGGAAUGAAAGGGUGGUUAGCUAAAUUGUUACUUAGCGAAGAUGUCUUGUUCUGAGAAAUGGAUUUGUUUAGUUCUCAGUUAAGCUGUUGAGGUAGUUUUCAGUCGGUGUUUUUCGGAGGAGAAACAGGUCUUGUGAGACUCCGUUCACAACAAGACUAAUGCCAUUGGGUUUCUUUCAACUGAAAUGUUAAUCUGUAUGGAAAGCCGUGGACUACUGAUAAGCUUGAUUGUAUUUUGAAUUUCUUUCCAGAUUCACUUCAAUCUGAUCAGGAGUCUCUCUGCUGUGCAGAAAGUAAGUGCAAUUUAGUCGUGAGUUUUUCAUAUUAGAAGAUAUAUUAGUAGUGUGUUCCAUUGGCAGCCUAUCGAUAUACAGUAGCAUUUGGUUUGAUGGCUGCUACUUUGAAAUGUCAUUGAUCUGUAACUGAAAUGAGCCUUGAGCAGUGAUCACUGGUUGAUCUAUAAAAUGAGCCUUGAGCAGUGAUCACUGGUUAAUC